rnacentral:misc_RNA from 1 species
AAGUCGUAACAAAGUCUCCGUAGGUAAACCUGCGGAGGGAUCAUUACACAAAUAUAAAGGCAGGCUAGAACCUCUCGGGGUUACAGCCUUGCUGAAUUAUUCACCCUUAUCUUUUGCGUACUUCUUAUUUCCUUAGUGGGUUCGCCCACCACUAGGACAAACAUAAACCUUUUGUAAUUGCAAUCAGCGUCAGUAACAAAUUAAUAAUUACAACUUUCAACAACGGAUCUCUUAGUUCUG